CCUUGGGUUACAGUUACCCAACUGUUUUUGCACUCCUGGGCUGGAUCCUGUGUGGAUAGGAGAUCCUGAGAGAGGCUCAGCUAGAGUGGGAAAAUUCUCAGUUGUUUCCUACAUAAAAAUUUCAUCCAACAGACCAAAAUCAGUGAAGGAGAUCACUGGGUAAAUUAUCAUUUCAAGCCCAAUUGCUCUAAAACGGACUACCAGCUGUUCCUCAGACUCAACCUUUGGCUCCGUGUCCUUGAGCAGACUCUCUCCCAUCCCUCAAUACAGUCUCUCGUUGCUCCUCCUUCUUAGAAUUCUUAGCUUCCUGCAAGGCUCAGCUCAGGUGUCAUCUUCUCCAGGAAGAUUUCUUGAGUCCCCCUUACCCUGGGCAUUAGUGCCCCAGCCCACCUCAGAUUGCUUUGGAGUUACUUUAAAAAAAAACAACACUUUUAUCUUGUCUUAGCAUCAGUUCUAACAUAGAAGAGGGGUUGGCAAUUAAAAGAAAACCUUUUAUCUUCUGUCUUGGCAUUGUUUUUAAGAUAGUAGAGCAGUAAAGGCUAGGCAAUUGGGGUUAAGUGACUUGUCCAGGGUCACACAGCUAAGCAGUCAGGGUAUUAGGCCAGAUUUGAACCCAGGAACUCCCAACUCCAGGCUUGGUGCUCUUUCCACUAUGCUACCUAGCUAGCCUGCCUGUAUUUACUUAAAAAAAAAAAUCCUUAUCUACUGUCUUAGAAGUUAUAUCACUUAGUCAUAGAUUUUUUAAAAAUCGUAUCUUCAGUCUUCAGAAUCAAUGCUGUAUAUUGGCUCCAAGUCACAAGAGGGAUAAGGGCUAAGUAGUGGGGGGUUAUGUGACUUGCCCAGGGUUACCUAGCUAGGAAGUAUCUGAAGCCUCAUUUGAACCCAGGACCUCCCAUCUCCAGACCUGGUUCUCUCUCCACUGAGCCACCCAGCUGCCUGGUUUGUGUUUACUUUUACAAGAUGCCUUCUGGAUCUUUCAUCUGUGCAUGUUUAGUAUCCCCACCAGCAGAGUGAAAGUCUUUGGAGGGCAUGUACAGUUUUGAUUUUGUUCUUUGUCUCUCCAGCAUCUAAAGGGGUGCCUUGCACAUUUUCUGCUAUUCUUGGUGUGGGGACCCUCCGUUGCUAAGAAAUUCCCACCAUCGGAAGAACCGUGGGAGCAGAAACACAGAAGAAAAACAACUGCUUGAUCACAGGGUUGAUGGGGAUAUGAUUAGUUGUGUAGAUCACACUGGUGCAAUUAUCAGUAAUAUGGAAGCAGGUCUUGAUCAAUGACACAUGUAAAAGCUGGUGGAAUUGCAUGUCAGUUAUGGGGGGGGUGAGGAGAGGAAUGAAAGAACAUGAAUCAUGUAACCAUGGGAAAAGAUUCUAAAUUAAUUAAACAAAAAUUUUCAAUUAAAAAAAUAAAGAUAUUGACUAUGUAAAAAAAAUUAAUGAA
rnacentral:lncRNA from 1 species